CAGUCGCCACGGGAAUACGAAGGGUGCAAGCGUUACUCGGAAUCACUGGGCGUAAAGCGUGCGUAGGUGGUGGUUUAAGUCCGUUGUGAAAGCCCUGGGCUCAACCUGGGAAUUGCAGUGGAUACUGGGUCACUAGAGUGUGGUAGAGGAUAGUGGAAUUUCCGGUGUAGCAGUGAAAUGCGUAGAGAUCGGAAGGAACAUCUGUGGCGAAGGCGACUAUCUGGGCCAACACUGACACUGAGGCACGAAAGCGUGGGGAGCAAACAGGAUUAGAUACCCCCGUAGUCCCUGUCUCUUAUAC
rnacentral:rRNA from 1 species